UCGGGGUACACGAGCGGCGAACGGGUGAGUAACACGUGAGCAACCUGCCCCUGACUCUGGGAUAAGCGGUGGAAACGCCGUCUAAUACCGGAUACGACCGGCCACCUCAUGGUGGCGGGUGGAAAGUUUUUCGGUCAGGGAUGGGCUCGCGGCCUAUCAGCUUGUUGGUGGGGUAACGGCCUACCAAGGCGAUUACGGGUAGCCGGCCUGAGAGGGCGACCGGCCACACUGGGACUGAGACACGGCCCAGACUCCUGCGGGAGGCAGCAGUGGGGAAUAUUGCGCAAUGGGCGAAAGCCUGACGCAGCGACGCCGCGUGGGGGAUGACGGCCUUCGGGUUGUAAACCUCUUUUACCACCAACGCAGGCUCCCAGUUCUCUGGGGGUUGACGGUAGGUGGGGAAUAAGGACCGGCUAACUACGUGCCAGCAGCCGCGGUAAUACGUAGGGUCCGAGCGUUGUCCGGAAUUAUUGGGCGUAAAGAGCUCGUAGGCGGCGUGUCGCGUCUGCUGUGAAAGACCGGGGCUUAACUCCGGUUCUGCAGUGGAUACGGGCAUGCUAGAGGUAGGUAGGGGAGACUGGAAUUCCUGGUGUAGCGGUGAAAUGCGCAGAUAUCAGGAGGAACACCGGUGGCGAAGGCGGGUCUCUGGGCCUUACCUGACGCUGAGGAGCGAAAGCAUGGGGAGCGAACAGGAUUAGAUACCCUGGUAGUCCAUGCCGUAAACGUUGGGCGCUAGGUGUGGGGACUUUCCACGGUUUCCGCGCCGUAGCUAACGCAUUAAGCGCCCCGCCUGGGGAGUACGGCCGCAAGGCUAAAACUCAAAGGAAUUGACGGGGGCCCGCACAAGCG
rnacentral:rRNA from 1 species